UUUGGAGCUUUGGGAACUCAGGAGCUCAUUUUCGUGGAUCUCCAAGUUUAGGUCGUCUCCCUCUCGAUCUUCAAGAGGUAAGAGCCGAUCUUAAGCUCCUUAUGUGUUUUAAGUAAGAUUUUAUGAGUCCUUUGGGUAGAAAUGCAUGUUAGGAUAUAUGUUGAGUUAUGGGUUAAUAUUGAUGUUUUGAACAAUGUGUGUUGAUUGUGUGUGUUUGAAGUGUUGUAGUUGGGGUAUAUGAUUGUUUGAGACCCCUAGGAACUUGUAUGCAUGUCCUAGUUGAGCUUUAUGCAUGAUUUGAGGUUUUGGGAGGCAAGAGGCUCAUGUGAGCCAAGUUUCUGCCCUUUU
rnacentral:lncRNA from 1 species